GACGAACGCUGGCGGCGUGCUUAACACAUGCAAGUCGAACGAUGAAGCCGGAGCUUGCUCCGGUGGAUUAGUGGCGAACGGGUGAGUAACACGUGAGCAAUCUGCCCUUGACUCUGGGAUAACUGCGGGAAACUGUAGCUGAUACCGGAUACGACACCUUGGGGCAUCCCAGGGUGUGGAAAGAAUUUCGGUCAAGGAUGAGCUCGCGGCCUAUCAGCUAGUUGGUGAGGUAAUGGCUCACCAAGGCGACGACGGGUAGCCGGCCUGAGAGGGUGACCGGCCACACUGGAACGGAGACACGGUCCAGACUCCUACGGGAGGCAGCAGUGGGGAAUAUUGCACAAUGGGCGAAAGCCUGAUGCAGCAACGCCGCGUGAGGGAUGAAGGCCUUCGGGCUGUAAACCUCUUUUAGCAGGGAAGAAGCGAAAGUGACGGUACCUGCAGAAAAAGCACCGGCUAACUACGUGCCAGCAGCCGCCGCGG
rnacentral:rRNA from 1 species